rnacentral:rRNA from 1 species
UAUGAUCUAGUACUACACAUUUGAACUGCAGAAGUGCGAAGGGUUCAUUACAUCAGUUAGAACUUACCCGAUGAGAUCUUGCUACAAGGAUAACUGUGGUAAUUCUAGACCUAAUAUAUGCAAUCAAUCCCCGACUUCCGGAAGGGGAGUAUUUAUUAGAUAAAAAACCAGCGCGGCUCGCCGCUCCCUUGGAGAUUCAUAACAGCUUCUCGAAUCGUAUGGCGGUGUGCCGGCGAUGCUACAUUCAUAUAUCUGCCCUAUCAACUUUCAAUGGUAGGAGAGAGACCUACCAAGUCUCCAACGGGGAACGGAGAAUGAGGGUUCGAUUCCGGAGAGGGAGCCUGAUAAACGGCUACCACCUCCUAGGAAGGCAGCAGGCGCGCUAAUUACCCAAUCCCGACUCGAGGAGGUAGUGACCAUAAAUAAUAUUAUAGGGCUCUUUUGGGUCUUACCAUUGCAAUGAGUACGAUUGAAAUCUCUUAACGAUGAUCAAGUGGAGGGCAAGUCUGGUGCCAGCAGCUGUGGCAAUUGUAGCUCCGAUAUCGUAGAUUAUAACUGUUGCAGUUGAGAAUCUCGUAGUUGAUCUUCAGACAUGGUCGGGAUAGGUCCCGUAACGGCGUGUUCUGCGUGCCUGCUACUUACUGCUUGGUGAGCCACCUUGCCCCUUUAUAGGGGGAGAUGGGGGAACCAGGACUUUUUCCUUCGAAAAAUUUCAAAUGUCACAACAAGCCGUCGCCCCAAAUAACUUUGCAUGGCAUAAUAAAAUAAAGCACGUGGGGGUCAAUUUUAUAGGUUCCCUUAACCCCCCGAAUAAAUUAAAACGAAACAGUGGGGGGGGUUGGGCAUUGAGGUCGGCUUGGGGAACCUUCUGGGGGUUGACUCAAAACCAAAUCACCGGCAAAAAACUUUCCCCAGGGGGGUUUUUUUUUUAUUACAAAAAACCAACCUUUAAAGGGGAAAAAAAAAAAUUUAUCCAAAAUUUUGUCUUUUA